GCGACUGCACAGUAAGUGUGCGACUGCACAGUUAGUGUGCUACCGCACAACUAGUGUGUGACUGCACAGCACACUAACUGUGCAGUCGCACACUUACUGUGCAGUCGC
rnacentral:pre_miRNA from 1 species